rnacentral:lncRNA from 1 species
UUGAUUUUGUUACAAAACAUAAAAGAAACAAAAAAACAGCACCGUCGUUCGUUCAACGCUGACAUGCUUGACUGCAUUCGCUGUAAGAGCGAAAAUUGUUGCCGUUGUCACCGCAGCCGCUGUAGAUGAAAGACUGGCAGGAUCUGCUCGAUGGUUCGUAGUAGAAGCGCUCGAAAAACCCUCGACAUAAUCCUUUUUGCAUUGGCUGAUAACAGCCCCAGGCAGCAGCGCGACUCACUCGGUUCUCUGCGAGAAACGGAAACCAAUCGUUAAAACCAUAAAAUAAAUUGCGUCCAUUCAGUGAUUCCGGUUCAGAAAUUCCGGUGUACAAAUAAUGGAUACAGGAAAUGGGAAUGCACUUACGUGGAGCGGCAGAAACGAAGAAGGUGAGACACGUGCAGGUAAUGACGACGACAAGAAAUAACCUGCUGCUGGUCAUUGUGUUGUUGUUUUUUGGAAUUCGCUGUGCGUUUGAACGCUGUUGUUCCUGUGUGAUUGUUCAGUAAUCGACUGGUGGGGAAGUGAUUCGAAUGCCGGUGGUUUAUAAAGGCAACUUGACGCCCGAUGUUUCGUUGACCCGCGUGUUUGCUAAAUUUUAUUAUUCACUUUCCCACAAACUUGGCAAGUGGAGAAAAGAAGAAAGUGACGGGAACAACUCAAAUGAUCAAACAAAAACUUGUACAGCAGUGGUUCGAUAAACUGUUGGCCAACACACAAAAAAAGCGGCACACGAUCAAGUUUGUAUCACGCUACAGGAAAGCCAAAUUGGGAAUUCCAAUCUCCUGCAACUAUACAAAUUCGCUAGAAAGACAUUGGACGUCGAAUUUGUGCUGUCUGAUUGUUUUAGUAUACAGUCAACAUUCAAAUAGUUCAUCAGCAAUAUUACUCUUGCGAAUCAUAAUUGUCUGUGUGUGUGUGGCAUUUCUUGAAGUAUAAAAUGGUACGUGGUUUAGGUAUGGAAAACGUGACGUACCGUACGUCCAUGAACAUUAUCUAUCGACUGGUGAGGUUAUUCGCCCCACCGUUGAUCCAGAUCUCAAUUUGGAAGAGAAAAUUUCUCUUUUUCUUUGAACAAACUUGUGACGUCAGCUCGAUUCCCGCACCGUAAGCAACCAACAUGGGGAUUUUGGACGAUAGUAGAUGCUGGGUGGGAGGAAGAGCUAUUAAAAAGAUUUUUCUCUUUAGAAAACAAUAGUUCUGCAAGGCGCUAGCGACUUUCUUUCCGCGGCAACCUGGGACCGAACUGGAUGGCUCACGAACGACAUUAGAACUUUCAAUUGUGAUCGAUGCUGCUAUAGUGCAGUGGCGAUAAGAGCGACAGUUUUGUAGUUGUUCCAACACAAUUUUGAACCCCAACAAUGAUCAACUAAAGUAAUCCAAACUAAAUAGUAACAACCAACUAAAGCAACAAUUCAAUAAAGGUGUGGCUGAACAUACGCAGAUUCUUCGCAAAGCCAUGAUCACGAACAAAACAUGCAAGUAAGCGUGGCAUCCUGUAACCCCUUUAAAGGUAUAACAGUUGAAAUUCACAGCAUUAAAAAAAAAAACCUGACCGUGAAGUUUGCGUAAAUUGGGACGAGCAUUAAGCGUGCUGCCACCAGCUUUCAUAUGUAGGCUAAUCGAAGCAGCUUCCUGACUUAUUCUAAAAUGGCAUUUUGACCUUUUGCUAAGCAAAGCAGCUUUUCAACUGUCUACUCCGAAACUAGCGGCUAAUAUGUAAUAACAUUUUUUAGCUUAAUUCAUAACUUACUGUUGUAACGCGUAAAUCUCGAAUAUUAUUCGGAAUCGAUUUUCGUGACCCUCGUUUAAUUUUUAAACCGUAAUCAUUCGUAGUUUGUUAUAUUUAGAUUUCAGCAAAAGGCAAAACAUGUUGCCCGACAUUAAGCUUGACCUUUUAAGCCCGAUUUUUCCUACAAAAAGUUGGUCUAGUCGUGCGACGUAAUAUCUGUUCGAUUUGCGAAAUCAAUAACUAUUGCUUCUGUUUUUUAUUGCACCAUUUAUUCAACAUCAAUUUAGGAAUAGGAUACAAAUGUUAGGCAAUCCUGUUGUCAUCAUUUAUGUCGGCCGAAUAGAAUAUUCCCACGACGGUAAAAAACAU